UACGUAGGGGGCAAGCGUUGUCCGGAGUCAUUGGGCGUAAAGAGCGUGUAGGCGGCUCGGUAAGUCCGCUGUGAAAGCCCAGGGCUCAACCCUGGAAUGCCGGUGGAAACUGUCGAGCUAGAGUCCGGAAGAGGCGAGUGGAAUUCCUGGUGUAGCGGUGAAAUGCGCAGAUAUCAGGAGGAACGCCAAUGGCGAAGGCAGCUCGCUGGGACGGUACUGACGCUGAGACGCGAAAGCGUGGGGAGCAAACAGG
rnacentral:rRNA from 1 species